rfam:Gossypium hirsutum cultivar TM-1 chromosome 24, whole genome shotgun sequence
AUUCUAUGAUGAGGGAAUUUUUGUAAUAAUUCUUUGUAUCUUUACCAUUCCUCAUACAAGGACUCAUCAUCCACUUGUGGGAAAGCAGUGAUCGUAUUCCUCAACUU